rnacentral:rRNA from 1 species
UACGGAGGAUCCAAGCGUUAUCCGGAUUUAUUGGUUAAAGGGUGCGUAGGCGGCCUGUUAAGUCAGGGGUGAAAGACGGUAGCUCAACUAUCGCAGUGCCCUUGAUACUGAUGGCUUGAAUGGACUAGAGGUAGGCGGAAUGAGACAAGUAGCGGUGAAAUGCAUAGAUAUGUCUCAGAACACCGAAUUGCGAAGGCAGCUUACUAUGGUCUUAUUGACGCUGAGGCACGAAAGCGUGGGGAUCAAACAGG